ACCUUUUUCUCAUCUUUUGUUGGCAUCGAGUAUCCAAAUUGCGAAGAAAAAUGAAUCACCAUACGUGGAAGUAUUCAAAAGUAUGCUAGAAUGUAGUGUAGUGUUUUUUGAAACGUUUCCAAACUGCCUUUCUCAAAGAAGAAAAAAGUGAAAAGGUUAGCGUUGCACUCAAUUGAUCAGUCCAAAAAAACGGAGCCGCGCACACGCUUGAGUUGCUCAGUUUUAGACAACUUGAAGACAGAAGAAGAAGGAAAAGUUCAGGGAUCACUUGAAAACUCACGGACUUGGUAUGAAUUAUUACGUUUAAAUUACUGUGCUAACGACUUUUUU
ensembl:ncRNA R03E9.7 ncRNA